UUCAAAGCUACAGGGGUAGCUUUCCUGAAGAGUGCAAAAACUUCUUUAGCUUUCAAAAUGGUAUAUAGUACAAACAGUGAAGCUAAUAUAGACACAUCUGAUCAUUCAUCAUCAACAAUAACUGCAUCUGAGAAUUAUAGUUCUACAGUAACCGUGGAGUCUAGGUCAACAAUUACUAUUUCUCAUCCAAGCCGUUUUUGUUUAACUGCUACACAUUCCCUGACUCUGCCAAGGAAAAGGGUAAAAUCAAAAUGAUAUCCUGAGGACCUAAGCACUGAUGAUUCCACCGUUUCAAGAGCUUAAUCACUUGUCACCAGAUUAUGGAAAAAAAAUAAAGAACAAAAAAUUAAAAUUCGAAGAUUGCAACAAGCAAAUUUGCGCCAAAGAAAUUAAAUUAGAUGUCUCAAGUCAUUAUUAAAAUACUUACAUGAAAUAAUAACAUGAUUUUAUGGAAAAGCCCAACAUACUACAUAUUUUAUUUGACUUG